rnacentral:rRNA from 1 species
GGGCCCGCACAAGCGGUGGAGCAUGUGGUUUAAUUCGAUGCAACGCGAAGAACCUUACCUACCCUUGACAUCCUGCGAACCCGGAAGAGAUUCCGGGGUGCCUUCGGGAACGCAGAGACAGGUGCUGCAUGGCUGUCGUCAGCUCGUGUUGUGAAAUGUUGGGUUAAGUCCCGCAACGAGCGCAACCCUUAUCCUUAGUUGCCAGCACGUUUGGGUGGGCACUCUAAGGAAACUGCCGGUGCUAAGCCGGAGGAAGGCGGGGAUGACGUCAAGUCCUCAUGGCCCUUACACGCGGGGCUACACACGUGCUACAAUGGCGCAUACAGAGUGCUGCGAGCCUGCGAGGGUGAGCGAAUCACUUAAAGUGCGUCGUAGUCCGGAUUGGAGUCUGCAACUCGACUCCAUGAAGUCGGAAUCGCUAGUAAUCG